GACGAACGCUGGCGGCGUGCUUAACACAUGCAAGUCGAACGGAAAGGCCCUGCUUGCGGGGUGCUCGAGUGGCGAACGGGUGAGUAACACGUGGGUGAUCUGCCCCUUUUUUUGGGAUAAGCCUGGGAAACUGGGUCUAAUACUGGAUAGGACCAUGCUGUCGGUGGUGUGGUGGUAAGAUUAGUUUGGGUAUGGGAUGAGCUCGCGGCGUAUCAGCUUGUUGGUGGGGUAAAGGCCUACCAAGGCGUCGUCGGGUGGCCGGCCUGAGAGGGGGGGCGGCCACAUUGGGGCUGUGAGACGGCCCAGACUCCUACGGGGGGCAGCAGUGGGGAAUAUUGCGCAAUGGGCGCAAGCCUGAUGCAGCGACGCCGCGUGGGGGAUGACGGCCUUCUGGUUGUAAACUCCUUUCAGCCAUGACGAAGCCCGUGUGGGGACGGUAGUGGUAGAAGAAGCACCGGCUAACUACGU
rnacentral:rRNA from 1 species